rfam:Triticum urartu cultivar G1812 contig724427, whole genome shotgun sequence.
UUUUUACUCUCUCCGUUCGAAAUUACUUGUCGCAGAAAUGGAUGUAUCUAGAUGUAUUUUAGUUCUAGAUAUAUCUAUUUCUGAGACAAGUAAUUCCGAACGGAGGGAGUACUAC